CCUACGGGUGGCAGCAGUGGGGAAUAUUGGACAAUGGGCGAAAGCCUGAUCCAGCCAUGCCGCGUGUGUGAAGAAGGCCUUCGGGUUGUAAAGCACUUUCAGUGGGGAAGAAAGCCUUGGGGCUAAUACCCUCGAGGAAGGACAUCACCCACAGAAGAAGCACCGGCUAACUCCGUGCCAGCAGCCGCGGUAAUACGGAGGGUGCGAGCGUUAAUCGGAAUUACUGGGCGUAAAGCGCGCGUAGGCGGUCUGAUAAGCCGGUUGUGAAAGCCCCGGGCUCAACCUGGGAACGGCAUCCGGAACUGUCAGGCUAGAGUGCAGGAGAGGAAGGUAGAAUUCCCGGUGUAGCAGUGAAAUGCGUAGAGAUCGGGAGGAAUACCAGUGGAGAAGGCGGCCUUCUGGACUGACACUGACGCUGAGGUGCGAAAGCGUGGGUAGCAAACAGGAUUAGAUACCCCAGUAGUC
rnacentral:rRNA from 1 species